rfam:Myotis lucifugus cont2.6369, whole genome shotgun sequence.
AUUGCUUCUCGGCCUUUUGGCUAAGAUCAAGUGUAGUAUAUAUAUUUUGUUACUGAUAUAUAGAAAUACACAUGUGAUAUACAUACAUAUUCUUUCAGUCAACAUUAUGUUUCUAAGAAUGUAGGUCUA